UACAGGCUAAUCUGAAUUCCCCAGAUAAGCCUCCACAGCUCAGGCGGCAGAGCUGGGAAUCAAACCCGGUUCCUCCAGAUUAGAUACAUGAGCUCUUAACCUCCUACGCCACUGCUGCUCCUAGAUGAGUGGAAGAACUGUGCCCAACCAUACCCAGUACUUGUGGAUCAACUGCCAAGGUCAGCUGUAAGUUGUGUGUGUGGAAAAGGACUGGCAUUUUUCAGGAGAUCCUGUGUUAGUUGUGGGGGUGGGUGAGUGGGUGGGUUAAGGUCCCCCUGAACUAACUCAAUUGCUUAUACCAGAUGCGGGUAUUUCACUGAUUUGCAGUAGUUGUGAGAAGUUUUUUAAAAACGUUUUCAGUGUAUUUGUUUUCUUAAAGUAAAUUCACAUUAAGGAUGAUCUGGCAACUAGUUGAUCGCUCACCAGAUGAGUAAUUAUGGUACUUCCAAAAAAAUUAUGGAACAAUAAAAUAAAACACUUCUGCAAGUUCA